ensembl:lncRNA
CAAAAGAGUGCUUGGUUCUCAAAAUGCAGUAAUUUAGUCCCAGAAUCCAGACAAAUCGUUGCCAUGUAAUAGCUUUCCCCUAUACAGCAUGUAUCUAUCUGUUAUUAGUCUAUCUUCUAAACAAAUUGGCAAUUGCUUAACUUCAAAAAAAAAAAAAAUGAUGGGAGUUAAAAGGCAUAUCUAAUCUUUCACCUUCACACACCAGUGGUUUGGUCUAAGGAGGAGAUACUCGUGCUAAUGAGUUAGAUGCUAAUUAGCACAUGAAUGCACAAGAUGGGAUUGUUGCAAGCAGAUCUUUUAAUGGUAGGCCAUUGCAAAUUGGUGUCUCUUCCCAAGACAUUUCUCUACACACUGAGGAGAAAUAUCAUUGCACCUCACAUAGUCUGUCAAACAGAAGACAGCGGUUUAAGCCAAGCUCUCAGCUAAAAGAUCAUCUACUGAUUUAGCAUGGGAUGUAUCUCUGCCUCUUUGUUCCGCGCCCAUGUUUUCCAUUAUCUUGUUUUCUGGACCGUAUGCGAAUUUGGUGUGUUUAGUUUAUACUGCUGUAAGCUGGAGAGCAACUUUUGAGCAGAUCAAGAAUCUUCAAAGCAGGAUUUAAGUAGAGUAUAAACUCUUCUAUUUGGUAGAUUCUUUAAAACAGCAAUCAUUAUCACCAUGAUAUCAUCAUAAUGUCACAUAAAAGAGAUGGCCUAGAGGCAUAUUGGAUUUAGUUUGAUCAAAUCUGGGCAUGAUCAUUUUUUUUUUUUGAACCAGCGAGCUGAGCGUAGCCGCAAGCUACACUUUUGUGAUCUAUUACGAGCGAUUAAUAUUGAUCACAUGAAAAGCAGCGCAAAGUCUCUUUGGUCUUGCUUGGGUUGGCCUUCUGGCCAUCCAAGUGAGCAAGUCAAAGGUGACAGAGAAUAGGAAGAAUUGCAUGAAUAAUAUUAAAACAACUAAAGACAUUAAAAGAGGAGAUGAGACACGAUGUCUUCAUGCCUUGGGACAUUAGGAGGAUCUGGUUCAUCCGUGUAAAUGGUGAUGUGUGUGUGAAUAAAUAAAAUGUGAACUUCCAGAAUAAAUGAAGCCUGAUAACCUUUAGGUAAGUCUGAAAACCAUGGGGAAUUUUUAAGUGGCCAUACAGACCUGGGUAAGCCUAAAGAGCUCUAGCUAAGUCUAUGGACCAUUAGGUAAUCCUUAUUUAUUUAUUUUUCAAAAUGUUUUGCUUUUUGUAUCAAUCAGAAGAACCCACUGCCACUUGAUUCAGCUCAUUAGAUCAUUUUUGGCCCCUCAGCUUUGUAUCAACUUGCAAAAGCUAACAAGCAAAUGGUGAUUCCACUGAGCCUUUGAUUUCACUGAUAGGAUACCAGACUUACUGAAGUAAAUUGCAGACCAUGAGGUAAGACUAUAGACCACUAGGCAAGCCUAUAGACCAUUAGGCAAACCUAUAGACCACUAGGUAAACCUAUAGACCACUAGGUAAGCCUACAGAACACUAGGUUAGACUAUAGCCCAUUAGGAAAUCCUAUAGACCACUAGGUAAGCCUACAGACCAUUAGGCAAGUCUAUAGACCACUAGGCAAGCCUAUAGACCACUAGGUAAGCCUACAGACCAUUAGGUAAGACUAUAGACCACUAGGCAAACCUAUAGACCAAUAGGCAAACCUGUAGAACGCUACUGUAGGCAAGCCUAUAGACCACUAGAUAAGCAUAACGAACACUAGGUAAGCUUGAAGAGCACAAGCCAAUUUCAGCUCAUUAGUUAUUUCCUGGUGUCUUUCCAAUUUCUGGGAGUUUUGAAAAGCUCCCAUGAUGUUGGAUUUCUGUAUGUGAGGAAUUUAGCAUGUUCCUAAGUCUGUGUAGGUUUCGUCAGGGUUCUCAGGCUUCCCCCUAACCUUUCUAAAAGCAUGCCAAUAGAUGGAUCAGGAAAAAAACAAUGGUACCUCUGCAGGCAGGUGGAGUCUCCACAGACGCUUUAAUUUCACUGAUGGGAAAACAUACCACUUUCCAAGCUCCGAUGUGAGACCUUUUCAGUUUUAUCAUCAAUCCUGCUUAUGUGAAAGCAGAGGUGAGUCAAAUUGCCUACUUAGACCCACAGGUGAGUCGCACUAAUGGCUAAGUGCUGGGAAGGAAAGAAAGAGAGAGGUAGAUGCUUUCAGACCUGGCAAACUGUCUACUUUGGAAGCACAAUGUUUCCUCUGUCUCCAGAGCAGAUCAGUAUCCCUGGCAGAAAAAGCGCUUCAUGUUUGUCUCUGUUGGUAUUUCUUCAUGUUGUUGAUUUCAGGUCUGACUAGCGUUGACAGCUAAUAUUA